AUUGAACGCUGGCGGCAUGCUUUACACAUGCAAGUCGAACGGUAACAGGUUAAGCUGACGAGUGGCGAACGGGUGAGUAAUGCAUCGGAACGUGCCCAGUCGUGGGAGAUAACGCAGCGAAAGCUGCGCUAAUACCGCAUACGAUCUGAGGAUGAAAGCGGGGGACCGUAAGGCCUCGCGCGAUCGGAGCGGCCGAUGGCAGAUUAGGUAGUUGGUGGGAUAAAGGCUCACCAAGCCGACGAUCUGUAGCUGGUCUGAGAGGACGACCAGCCACACUGGGACUGAGACACGGCCCAGACUCCUACGGGAGGCAGCAGUGGGGAAUUUUGGACAAUGGGCGCAAGCCUGAUCCAGCAAUGCCGCGUGCAGGAAGAAGGCCUUCGGGUUGUAAACUGCUUUUGUACGGAGCGAAAAGGCUCUCUCUAAUACAGGGGGCUCAUGACGGUACCGUAAGAAUAAGCACCGGCUAACUACGUGCCAGCAGCCGCCGUAA
rnacentral:rRNA from 1 species